rnacentral:rRNA from 1 species
CACGUAGGGCGCGAGCGUUGUCCGGAAUUAUUGGGCGUAAAGAGCUCGUAGGCGGCCUGUUGCGUCCGCUGUGAAAGCCCGGGGCUUAACCCCGGGUCGGCAGUGGAUACGGGCAGGCUAGAGGUAGGUAGGGGAGAAUGGAAUUCCCGGUGUAGCGGUGAAAUGCGCAGAUAUCAGGAGGAACACCGAUGGCGAAGGCAGGUCUCUGGGCUGUAACUGACGCUGAGGAGCGAAAGCAUGGGGAGCGAACAGG